rnacentral:tRNA from 1 species
AGGAUAAUAGUUAAAAAUAACAUUUGAUUUGCAUUCAAAAAGUAUUGACUAUUCAAUUUAUCUUA